CAGAUUAUUCUCGCCAUUCACUGAAUGGUGGGUCGGAUAGUUUGUCCAGUGAUUAAACCCGCCCUCGAGGCGGGUUUU
rnacentral:sRNA from 1 species